GGGUUAGGGUUGGGCUUGGAGCUAGGAUUCUUCUGAGUGCAAUGAACCAACUCCCGAGUCUCUAGGACGUUCCUAAAAAAAUUGAUUUUUUCCCAUAGGAAUGCAUGGGUUAGGGUUAGGGUUAGGGUUGGAGCUAGGGUUAGGGUUAGGGUUAGGGUUGGAGUUAGGGUUAGUGUUGGAGCUAGGGUUAGGGUUGGGCUUGGAGCUAGGAUUUUUCUGAGUGCAAUGAACCAACUCCCGAGUCUCUAGGAUGUUCCUAAAGAAAUUUGUUUUUUUCCCAUAGGAAUGCAUGGGUUAGGGUUAGGGUUAGGGUUGGAGCUAGGGUUAGGGUUAGGGUUAGGGUUGGAGUUAGGGUUAGUGUUGGAGCUAGGGUUAGGGUUGGGCUUGGAGCUAGGAUUUUUCUGAGUGCAAUGAACCAACUCCGGAGUCUCUGGGACGUUCCUAAAAAAAUUUGAUUUUUUCCCAUAUGAAUGCAUGGGUUAGGGUUAGGGUUAGGGUUGGAGCUAGGGUUAGGGUUAGGGUUAGGGUUGGAGUUAGGGUUAGUGUUGGAGCUAGGGUUAGGGUUGGGCUUGGAGCUAGGAUUUUUCUGAGUGCAAUGAACCAACUCCCGAGUCUCUAGGACGUUCCUAAAAAAAUUUGAUUUUUUCCCAUAGGAAUGCAUGGGUUAGGGUUAGGGUUAGGGUUGGAGCUAGGGUUAGGGUUAGGGUUAGGGUUGGAGUUAGGGUUAGUGUUGGAGCUAGGGUUAGGGUUGGGCUUGGAGCUAGGAUUUUUCUGAGUGCAAUGAACCAACUCCCGAGUCUCUAGGACGUUCCUAAAAAAAUUUGAUUUUUUCCCAUAGGAAUGCAUGGGUUAGGGUUAGGGUUAGGGUUGGAGCUAGGGUUAGGGUUAGGGUUAGGGUUGGAGUUAGGGUUAGUGUUGGAGCUAGGGUUAGGGUUGGGCUUGGAGCUAGGAUUUUUCUGAGUGCAAUGAACCAACUCCCGAGUCUCUAGGACGUUCCUAAAAAAAAUUGUUUUUUUCCCAUAGGAAUGCAUGGGUUAGGGUUAGGGUUAGUGUUGGAGCUAGGGUUAGGGUUAGGGUUAGGGUUGGAGUUAGGGUUAGUGUUGGAGCUAGGGUUAGGGUUGGGCUUGGAGCUAGGAUUUUUCUGAGUGCAAUGAACCAACUCCUGAGUCUCUAGGACGUUCCUGAAAAAAUUUGAUUUUUUCCCAUAGGAAUGCAUGGGUUAGGGUUAGGGUUAGGGUUGGAGCUAGGGUUAGGGUUGGAGCUAGGGUUAGGGUUAGGGUUAGGGUUGGAGUUAGGGUUAGGGUAUGAGCUAGGGUAAGGGUUGGGCUUGGAGCUAGGAUUUUUCUGAGUGCAAUGAACCAACUCCCGAGUCUCUAGGACGUUCCUAAAAAAAUUUGUUUUUUUCCCAUAGGAAUGCAUGGGUUAGGGUUAGGGUUAGGGUUAGGGUUAGGGUUAAGGUUGGAGUUAGGGUUAGUGUUGGAGCUAGGGUUAGGGUUGGGGCUAGGGUUAGGGUUAGGGUUAGGGUUAAGGUUGGAGCUAGGGUUAGGGUUAGGGUUAGGGUUGGAGCCAGGGUUAGGGUUAGGGUUGGAGUUAGGGUUAGUGUUGGAGCUAGGGUUAGGGUUGGGCUUGGAGCUAGGAUUUUUCUGAGUGCAAUGAACCAACUCCCGAGUCUCUAGGAUGUUCCUAAAAAAAUUUGAUUUUUUUCCCAUAGGAAUGCAUGGGUUAGGGUUAGGGUUAGUGUUGGAGCUAGGGUUAGGGUUAGGGUUAGGGUUGGAGUUAGGGUUAGUGUUGGAGCUAGGGUUAGGGUUGGGCUUGGAGCUAGGAUUUUUCUGAGUGCAAUGAACCAACUCCCGAGUCUCUAGGAUGUUCCUAAAAAAAUUUGAUUUUUUCCCAUAGGAAUGCAUGGGUUAGGGUUAGGGUUAGGGUUGGAGCUAGGGUUAGGGUUAGGGUUAGGGUUGGAGUUAGUGUUAGUGUUGGAGCUAGGGUUAGGGUUGGGCUUGGAGCUAGGAUUUUUCUGAGUGCAAUGAACCAACUCCUGAGUCUCUAGGACGUUCCUAAAAAAAAUUGUUUUUUUCCCAUAGGAAUGCAUGGGUUAGGGUUAGGGUUAGGGUUGGAGCUAGGGUUAGGGUUAGGGUUAGGGUUGGAGUUAGGGUUAGUGUUGGAGCUAGGGUUAGGGUUGGGCUUGGAGCUAGGAUUUUUCUGAGUGCAAUGAACCAACUCCUGAGUCUCUAGGACGUUCCUGAAAAAAUUUGAUUUUUUCCCAUAGGAAUGCAUGGGUUAGGGUUAGGGUUAGGGUUGGAGCUAGGGUUAGGGUUGGAGCUAGGGUUAGGGUUAGGGUUAGGGUUGGAGUUAGGGUUAGGGUAUGAGCUAGGGUAAGGGUUGGGCUUGGAGCUAGGAUUUUUCUGAGUGCAAUGAACCAACUCCCGAGUCUCUAGGACGUUCCUAAAAAAAUUUGUUUUUUUCCCAUAGGAAUGCAUGGGUUAGGGUUAGGGUUAGGGUUAGGGUUAAGGUUGGAGUUAGGGUUAGUGUUGGAGCUAGGGUUAGGGUUGGGGCUAGGGUUAGGGUUAGGGUUAGGGUUAAGGUUGGAGCUAGGGUUAGGGUUAGGGUUAGGGUUGGAGCCAGGGUUAGGGUUAGGGUUGGAGUUAGGGUUAGUGUUGGAGCUAGGGUUAGGGUUGGGCUUGGAGCUAGGAUUUUUCUGAGUGCAAUGAACCAACUCCCGAGUCUCUAGGAUGUUCCUAAAAAAAUUUGAUUUUUUUCCCAUAGGAAUGCAUGGGUUAGGGUUAGGGUUAGUGUUGGAGCUAGGGUUAGGGUUAGGGUUAGGGUUGGAGUUAGGGUUAGUGUUGGAGCUAGGGUUAGGGUUGGGCUUGGAGCUAGGAUUUUUCUGAGUGCAAUGAACCAACUCCCGAGUCUCUAGGAUGUUCCUAAAAAAAUUUGAUUUUUUCCCAUAGGAAUGCAUGGGUUAGGGUUAGGGUUAGGGUUGGAGCUAGGGUUAGGGUUAGGGUUAGGGUUGGAGUUAGUGUUAGUGUUGGAGCUAGGGUUAGGGUUGGGCUUGGAGCUAGGAUUUUUCUGAGUGCAAUGAACCAACUCCUGAGUCUCUAGGACGUUCCUAAAAAAAAUUGUUUUUUUCCCAUAGGAAUGCAUGGGUUAGGGUUAGGGUUAGGGUUAAGGUUGGAGUUAGGGUUAGUGUUGGAGCUAGGGUUAGGGUUGGGGCUAGGGUUAGGGUUAGGGUUAGGGUUAAGGUUGGAGCUAGGGUUAGGGUUAGGGUUAGGGUUGGAGCCAGGGUUAGGGUUAGGGUUGGAGUUAGGGUUAGUGUUGGAGCUAGGGUUAGGGUUGGGCUUGGAGCUAGGAUUUUUCUGAGUGCAAUGAACCAACUCCCGAGUCUCUAGGAUGUUCCUAAAAAAAUUAGAUUUUUUUCCCAUAGGAAUGCAUGGGUUAGGGUUAGGGUUAGUGUUGGAGCUAGGGUUAGGGUUAGGGUUAGGGUUGGAGUUAGGGUUAGGGUAUGAGCUAGGGUUAGGGUUGGGCUUGGAGCUAGGAUUUUUCUGAGUGCAAUGAACCAACUCCCGAGUCUCUAGGAUGUUCCUAAAAAAAUUUGAUUUUUUCCCAUAGGAAUGCAUGGGUUAGGGUUAGGGUUAGUGUUGGAGCUAGGGUUAGGGUUAGGGUUAGGGUUGGAGUUAGGGUCAGUGUUGGAGCUAGGGUUAGGGUUGGGCUUGGAGCUAGGAUUUUUCUGAGUGCAAUGAACCAACUCCUGAGUC